rnacentral:rRNA from 1 species
CGGGACGGGUGAGUAAUGUCUGGGAAACUGCCCGAUGGAGGGGGAUAACUACUGGAAACGGUAGCUAAUACCGCAUAACGUCGCAAGACCAAAGAGGGGGACCUUAGGGCCUCUUGCCAUCGGAUGUGCCCAGAUGGGAUUAGCUAGUAGGUGGGGUAAUGGCUCACCUAGGCGACGAUCCCUAGCUGGUCUGAGAGGAUGACCAGCCACACUGGAACUGAGACACGGCCCAG